rnacentral:rRNA from 1 species
UGGGGAAUAUUGGACAAUGGGCGCAAGCCUGAUCCAGCCACGCCGCGUGAGUGAUGAAGGCCUUCGGGUCGUAAAGCUCUGUGGGGAGGGACGAACCGCCGGAUGUUCAUAGCAUCCGGCAUGACGGUACCUCCUUAGCAAGCACCGGCUAACUUCGUGCCAGCAGCCGCGGUAAUACGAAGGGUGCAAACGUUGCUCGGAAUUAUUGGGCGUAAAGCGCACGUAGGCGGCAUUGCAAGUCGGAUGUGAAAUCCCUCGGCUCAACCAAGGAAGUGCAUCCGAAACUGCAGUGCUUGAGUACUUAAGAGGAUCGCGGAAUUCCCGGUGUAGAGGUGAAAUUCGUAGAUAUCGGGAGGAACACCAGUGGCGAAGGCGGCGAUCUGGGAAGAUACUGACGCUGAGGUGCGAAAGCGUGGGGAGCAAACAGG